rnacentral:rRNA from 1 species
UACGUAGGGUGCGAGCGUUGUCCGGAAUUAUUGGGCGUAAAGGGCUCGUAGGCGGUUUGUCGCGUCGGGAGUGAAAUCCACUGGCUUAACUGGUGGCUUGCUUUCGAUACGGGCAGACUGGAGGUAUGCAGGGGAGAACGGAAUUCCUGGUGUAGCGGUGGAAUGCGCAGAUAUCAGGAGGAACACCGGUGGCGAAGGCGGGUCUCUGGGCAGUGAACUGACGCUGGAGGAGCGAAAGCGUGGGGAGCGAACAGG